UCCGGUGGCGAUGCGCUUGGGGGAAACACCCGUUUCCAUCCCGAACACGACGGUUAAGACUCAAGCGGCCGAUGGUACUAUAUUGGAGACGAUAUGGGAGAGCAGGUGGCUGCCGGAU
rnacentral:rRNA from 1 species